rnacentral:rRNA from 1 species
AGAAUGAACGCUGGCGGCGUGCUUUACACAUGCAAGUCGAGCGGGGCGGCCCGCAAGGGCCAGUCGAGCGGCGAACGGGUGAGUAACGCGUGGAUAAUCUGCCCUGAGGUGUGGGAUAACCAGGGGGAAACUCUGGCUAAUACCGCAUGAUACCGAGAGGUCAAAGGGGGCUCGCAAGAGCUCUCGCCAUAGGAGGAGUCCGCGUUCGAUUAGCUAGUUGGUAGGGUAAUGGCCUACCAAGGCGACGAUCGAUAGCCGGCCUGAGAGGGUGAUCGGCCACACUGGAACUGAGACGACGGUCCGGACUCCGUACGGGAGGCAGCGAGGUGGGGAAUUUGGCGCAAGUGGGCUAACGCCUGACGCGAGCAACGCCGCGUGGAGGAUGAAGGUCGUU